rnacentral:rRNA from 1 species
CGGGGGGAAAGCUAACAUGGCAGUCGAGCGGAACGAUGGGAGCUUGCUCCCAGGCGUCGAGCGGCGGACGGGUGAGUAACACGUGGGAAUCUGCCCAUUAGUGGGGGAUAACUCGGGAAAACUCGAGCUAAUACCGCAUAAUCCCUACGGGGGAAAGCAGGGGAUCUUCGGACCUUGCGCUGAUGGAUGAGCCCGCGUCGGAUUAGCUUGUUGGUGGGGUAAUGGCCCACCAAGGCGACGAUCCGUAACUGGUCUGAGAGGAUGGCCAGUCACACCGGGACUGAGACACGGCCCGGACUCCUACGGGAGGCAGCAGUGGGGAAUCUUGGACAAUGGGCGCAAGCCUGAUCCAGCCAUGCCGCGUGUGUGAAGAAGGCCUUCGGGUUGUAAAGCACUUUCAGUAGGGAGGAAGGCUUUGGGCUAAUACCCUGGAGUACUUGACGUUACCUACAGAAGAAGCACCGGCUAAUUUCGUGCCAGACCGGCGCGCGUUAUAUAA